rnacentral:rRNA from 1 species
AGCUCCAAUAGCGUAUAUUAAAGUUGUUGCAGUUAAAAAGCUCGUAGUUGGAUUUGUGGCGCGUGCCUUGGCGUUGGGAUUAGUUUCCUUUUCUGCUUUGGCCGUGCCAUCCUUGGGUGGAAUCUGUGUGGCAUUAGGUUGUCGUGCAGGGGAUGCCCAUCGUUUACUGUGAAAAAAUUAGAGUGUUCAAAGCAGGCUUAUGCCGUUGAAUAUAUUAGCAUGGAAUAAUAAGAUAGGUCUUUGGUCCUAUUUUGUUGGUUUGCGGGCCGGAGAAAUGAUUAACAGGGACAGUUGGGGGUAUUCGUAUUCCAUUGUCAGAGGUGAAAUUCUUGGAUUUCUGGAAGACGAACUACUGCGAAAGCAUUUACCAAGGAUGUUUUCAUUAAUCAAGAACGAAAGU